rnacentral:rRNA from 1 species
UACAGAGGGGGCAAGCGUUAUUCGGAAUUAUUGGGCGUAAAGGGCGCGUAGGCGGCUUGGCAAGUGGAUGGUGAAAUCCCUCGGCUUAACCGAGGAACUGCCUUCCAGACUGCUUUGCUUGAGGCCGGGAGAGGUGAGUGGAAUUCCCAGUGUAGCGGUGAAAUGCGUAGAUAUUGGGAGGAACACCAGUGGCGAAGGCGAGUCUCUGGACAGUUCCUGACACUGAGGCACGAAAGCCAGGGGAGCAAACGGG